GCAAGUCGAACGGUAGCAUGACUAGCUUGCUAGUUGAUGACGAGUGGCGAACGGGUGAGUAACGCGGAGGAAUAUACCUUUUUGUGGGGGAUAACUCGAGGAAACUCGGGCUAAUAACGCAUGUGCUUAUGGGAGUAAAGCUGGGGACCUUCGGGCCUGGUGCAAAAAGAUUAGCCUGCGUCCGAUUAGCUAGUUGGUAGGGUAAAGGCCUACCAAGGCGACGAUCGGUAGCUGGUCUGAGAGGGUGAUC
rnacentral:rRNA from 1 species